UGCCGCGGCGGCCGGACGAGGUGCGGCGCCUCGUCAGGCUCACAUUCGUGCGCCCGCCACUCAUCAUGCCGUCCUGCUUCCUCUGGGACUACAUUAAGGUUCUACGUUGCUGCUGCAGGCUAUUGUUGCGACUGUUUCUUUGGCGCAAACCAUUGUCACAGCUCAGGCGGAUGCAGCAGGCAAUAAGAAGAAUGUUUGAAUAAAAAGCAGGUAUGUUGAGGGUGACUUUGAUGCGUGAUGGGCGCUGGUGCUGCGGUCCACACCCAGAUCGAUCCGCUAAGGAACUGCCCCACAUCCAGAUCGAUGCCGCCCAAGAGCAAAAUCUGAAGAACAAGGUGUUAUCUCUCUUUCUCUCUUCGUAGUAGCAAUGAGUUGAUCAUGCUCAGGGCAUUUUGGGCCUUUUCCAAUUGAUCAUAUGCUAUUCUUUCAGUAUUUUCUGCUUUAGCUAAAGAUUGCAGGUUGUUGUCUACCGCAGGGGUCAUCACAGCACUGGCCUCCAUUCUUGCUUCAUUGAGUUGCCCAUCAAUGCUUAUUAGCGCAAUGCAGAGGCCUAAAAGACUAUUGAUAGGAUGACAAUAGGAGGACAAGAGAUGCCACAUUACCAAACCGGCCCUCCUCAGCCUCUUAUUUGGCAAGGAUCUGCAGGCAAGAAUGAACGCCCUCCAGUUUAGUUGCUUACAAGGCCCAUUGAUGUGGGAGACAAUAACCCCCUGGGACCAUACGAGUACAUGGCUCCAGCUUCACGUUAGGUAUGCAUAUUGAAUUUUAGUUUCAGGGGCCACUAAGUUAUCAGGUUCUUAUAAAUUCAGUUUCUAUGAUCUCUUUGGCCUUUUAGUAUGGAUGUGGCGAUCGGCUUGGAUUUUCAAACAGAUCUGAGAUUAAAAAUGAUUGUUUGCAUUUUUACCCUUGCAGCUUUCUUUUGCUCUACGUGUGAAUAGAAUCCGUCGGAGCUACUCCCUGAUGGCCAGAUUUACUUUUGAAUGCCCGUACUGCUUGUAGCGGAUGAUGUUCACAUGUUUGUCUAUCAGCCAUGGUGAACCUGGUCUGAUCAUCCGACACUUUUUAUGCAACGUUGUUGCCUACAUGACCAUGUUGUUAAACCUUGACUAAAUUUCAGUAAAAUGUACCCAGGAAUUCAAUCAGCUAUGUUAUGUAAUAUACUUAGCACAGUAUUGUGUUAGAUGAACCUGUACAUGUUUUUAUCUAUCUAUGCUGGGAUUUAUGCUA